GCCUCCCAAAGGGAUGGGGUUAUAGGCAUGAACCACUGCGCCCGCCCUGAUGUAUUUGGUAAUAUAUUUUAUUUUGUUUUAAGGAGUGCCUUUUGGUGAGUGUGCCCAGGAGGAGGAUGGCUGUGAAGAUUGGCAAGUGCCUUCCCUGCUGUGCACCCAGCCCCUUGUCUGGCCUAGUCAGGCCCCAGCUGCAGGCCAAGCAAUUAUCCAUAGGCCAGACAGGCUGACAUCAUGCACCCACAGUGAUACUAGAAGUAAUAUCUCCUUAAAACAUUAUGAGUAACAUUUCUGAGUAUACACACGUGGUGGACAUCAGCUUUGAUGUUGAAGUAAUAUCUUUCUAAGAUACUAUAAUAUCAUAGGGUCUAAAACAUAAUGUACACUCAUUCUAAUAUUAGGUGUAAUAUCUCCUUAGAAUAUUAUGAAUAAUGUGUGCUGUACAAAACUGGUAUACACCAUACAGUAUUAUUGGUGUAAUAUCUCCCCAGGAUAUUACGAGUAAUAUCUCCCCAGGAUAUUAUGAAUAUAUCACAUAGUGUAUACCCACUGUAAUGUUAGGAGUAAUAUUUCUUUAGAAUGUUACAAAUAAUAUCACAGGAUGUAUACCAACCGGGAUAUUAAAAAUAUUGUCCUAGGAUAUUACAGAUAGUGCACAGGUUGUACAACCUUUGUGAUAUUUACUGUAGUAUCUUUCUAGAAUAUUACAAAGAAUAUUAAAGAAUGUAAACCCAC